rnacentral:rRNA from 1 species
GACGAAGGAUGCAAGCGUUAUCCGGAUUCAUUGGGUUUAAAGGGAGCGUAGGUGGCCUUAUAAGUCAGUGGUGAAAUCUCUCGGCUUAACCGAGAAAUUGCCAUUGAUACUGUAGGGCUUGAGUAUAGUUCCGUUGGCGGAAUAUGACAUGUAGUGGUGAAAUACAUAGAGAUGUCAUAGAACACCGAUUGCGAAGGCAGCUGACGAAACUAUAAACUGACACUGAGGCUCGAAAGUGCGGGGAUCAAACAGG